rnacentral:rRNA from 1 species
GAUGAACGCUGGCGGCGUGCCUAAUACAUGCAAGUCGAGCGAAAACAGGAGGAGCUUUCUUGUCUGACGUUAGCGGCGGAGGGGGGAGUAACAUGUGGAUAACACACCUAGAUGACUGGGAUAACUUAGGGAAACCGGAGCUAAUACCGGCUAAACGAUGCAACAGCAUGGUGCAGUAGUUAAAGACGGCUUUGCUUUGACUUAUAGAUGGAUCCGUGCGGCAUUAGCUAGUUGGUAAGGUAACGGCUUACCAAGGCCACGAUGCGUAGCCGAUCUGAGAGGGUGAUCGGCCACACUGGAACUGAGACACGGUCCAGACUCCUACGGGAGGCAGCAGUAGGGAAUCUUCCGCAAUGGGCGAAAGCCUGACGGAGCAACGCCGCGUGUGUGAUGAAGGUCUUCGGAUCGUAAAGCACUGUUAUUGGGGAAGAACAAAUGUGUAUGUAACUAUGCACGUAUUGACGGUACCUGAUCAGAAAGCAACGGCUAACUACGUG